UUAUUAAAUGAAAGUGUGAAAGAGAUAUCAAGGGCUAUUCAGUUAAAAUAUCAACCGGCCAGUCUAGGCCCUGUUGUGAACCAGAAGGUCUGCUAAGUUGGAUGUUGGAUAUAGAAUGGAAGGAAUAUCAUGGCCGAGAACAAGGCAUAAUUGUAUGUCCCUUGAUGUAGGAGGGCCUGUAAAAAUAAAUAAUUCCUGGAGCCAUCUCGAGGUAUAGUACUCAAGUCGGAGCGAAUCAAUUGAUAGCACGAUGAAAA